GGAUUGUGGCUCAGUGGUGGAGCACUUGUCUAGCAUGUGUGAGGCACUGGGUUCAAUUCUCAGCACCA
rnacentral:tRNA from 1 species